GUGACGUCAUAUCCGCGCUCCGGAAGCUCGAGCUCGUCGCUGGUUAAACCAGAGCCUGGUCGAGGAGGGUGAACUUUCUUUUUCCAUCCAUCCCAAAAUAUUCGCUGUGACAUUUGUUUACACCUAGGUAAACAUAAUCGAAGAUCGCAUUUUAUCCGAAAUGGACUCCUCUGAGCACGACUCUUCAAUGACAUCUACAGGUGUAGCCAGUGGAGGGACACUACCACCAGGCCUGACAGAGGAGGAGGCAGAAGAGAUACAGGUGGAGCUCACCAAGGUGGAGGAUGAGAUUCAGACACUGAGACAGGUUCUCAUGGCGAAGGAGAGGCAUGCCACUGAGCUCAAGCGCAGACUUGGCAUCGGUCCCCUCUCUGAAAUCAAACAGAACUUCACCAAAGGCUGGCAUGAAGUUCAGUGCUCCAAUGCUUAUAUGAGAACUUCACAAACUCUUGGAGACUUGAAUCGUAGAGUUACCUCAUCUAAUUUAUACCUUACAGCUUCGUCCACAUUUGAGGAAAUUGGACGUUCUGAUGCCUAUAAGAGGACUCAGGAGACUCUGUCUCAGGCAGGUCACGUGACAUCAGCUGCGUUCUCCUCAAUGGGCUCUGCCAUCAGAAACCGAUUUGGAGAGAUGAGGGCUCUGCCGUACUCUAACUCUGGGUAAGAGCUAUACGAGAGCCUGCACUGAUGGCAGCCAUCUUCUUUUUGAGGUCUGCUGUACCUAUGAAGAGUUCUAGAGCAUUCUAUGGAACUCGCCAAGCUUUAAAUCCUUUGAGGACAAGGUGGACAAUAUGAAGUACAAAGUAAUGGGGCAAUCAAAUGGAGAGAGCGGCCAUUCACCAACCAGCAACAACGCACCUUUCUGAGCAGGAAGCACAACCUCAUGACCAAGAACUGACCUCUGUGAUCCUUCUAUAACGCUGCACCCAAAUACACUCCAGUCUCUCCACUGCUAAGUUACCUUCAAAUGAAUGUACAGAUAGAAAACAAUGCUUUAAGAAACUAAGAUGCCAACGUGCAAAGAGAUAAUGAUUACUUUAACAACUGUCACCCUUGCAGUAUGCAUCGUAGCCAAACAAAACCUCUUAAAUUAGAAUAUUAAAAACUGGAUAACCCUUUUUGGGAUUGUUAGGUUUUCUUCUGUGCAUCGAAUUACCUUUAAAUGUAUUGUAAUAUUUUUUGUCAAACAGGGCUUCUCUGACACUUCAGUAGUAAAUGGUCUGUUACGAUCAGCAUGAAGAGGUGAAAUGUUUGCACAGCUCACACUUAGAAUGUCCUAAAACACAUCAGGCUUCUUCAGCCUGUUUUGUUGCCAGUGUUUAUUAUUGUUACAUGCAUUGCACUGGAUAUUACCCUGCUCGUUACUCAGGGCAAAAGGUGCUAAAGCUUUCCUUGUGACAAGACUCGAGCACCAGAUUUGUAUCAUCUCUGAAGGUGUGUACUAAAUUAUUCACAUUUAUUUUAUUGUCUUGUCUGUCUUGAGUUUUCCCCCAGUUUUCCAAGUCAUAAAAAAAUACUAUACUACAAUAUGUUCUAGCAGAGAUGUUUUGAGAUUCAAGCUAUUCAUACCUCCCAUUUCUUCUCAUUACCUUUAAAAAUUUACUGCGAGUUGAAUUAUUUAUUCUUGUUCUUUUGGCACAUAAUGAAUACCUUUUGUAGUUUCUCUCUCUCUCUCUCUCUCUCUCUCUCAGUAAAUAAGAAAAUCUUUUGUCUGGAUAUAUUCUGUUUGGUUGCCUAUAGUACAGUACUGUAACAAUGACCAUAAAGGCAUCUGGUGAAAAGAUGGGGUUUAUAAAUUAUUUAAUUACUACUCGGAUGCAAGACUAAUAUUUCCAAGUAAGAUAAUUGAAUUAAAUGAUUGUACUAUUUAAUCAGAUAUUGUGGUGGGCAAAGAUCAAUUUCACUGUGAGGUGAUGGAAAAGCCAUUUUUAAUUAAUUUUUUGGUCAGUUUAUUAUUUUUCUUUUGAUUCUUUAUGCUGAUGGGAGUACUGUCCAUGCAAUGAUCUGUUAGAGAAUGUUACCAUACUGACCUUACUACUGUAUAGAUGUUUGAUGCUUUGUGGCUGUAACAUACUACACCGUUCAGGGUUUAUUAAAGACAAAGAAAUAACGAGAA